AGGUGGCCGUACCUCAUGCAGA
rnacentral:miRNA from 1 species